rnacentral:lncRNA from 1 species
UAAUUUUAUUUAGUGGGGUCUGGGGAGGCUAGUAUGUACGCAGACCUUACCCUUAACCUGGGAUAGAGACUGUUUCCAAAUAGACCCCCGGCAUCCUUUCCUCCAAUAACUUUCCACCUUGCUUUUGGGAAGACUCGAACUUACAACCUCUCGGUUAAAAGUGAUGGUUGCUUAAAAAAAAGGUAAAAAUAAAAAAGUAGAGUGUUGGCAAACAGAGAUCAAAGAUAUUUUAAACAAAAUAAGGGGAGUUAAAAAAGAGGAAAAUUUUAAAGUCAAGAUGUUGAAAGUAAUAAAAUGGAGUCAUCUUCAGAAUGGGAGUUUUAGCCAAACCUAACUCUUCAUGGCGAUCUUCUUCUUUUUAAUAGCAGCCUUACCAAUCUCAAUUUCAUAUUCACAAGUUUCUCUCUUUUAAGGAUUGAGCAAUUUAUUCUGAAUGUUGAAGAAGAUGGAGACAAUGGAGCAGGAUUUAAGAAAGGUGGAGACAAUGCAAUUUCACCUGAAAUUAUAUCCAAGCAGCCGACAAUCAACAUUGGCCAGUUUUUCCUUCUAAUAGCUGCCAAUCAAAGUUGUCCUCAGCCCCAGACUGUAGAGCAUUUGUGUGCUCUUCACAUCUUCAUGUAAGAUAUAUGGACUUAUAUCUAUAUACAUAUAAAUAAUAUAAGGAUAAAUUAUAUGUUAUGUGCUAUCUUUUGGUUUGGCCUAAUUUUGUGGUCUUAUNN